rnacentral:rRNA from 1 species
AGAGCGAACGCUGGCGGCAGGCUUAACACAUGCAAGUCGAGCGGGCGUAGCAAUACGUCAGCGGCAGACGGGUGAGUAACGCGUGGGAACGUACCUUUGGUUCGGAACAACACAGGGAAACUUGUGCUAAUACCGGAUAAGCCCUUACGGGGAAAGAUUUAUCGCCAAAAGAUCGGCCCGCGUCUGAUUAGCUAGUUGGUGAGGUAACGGCUCACCAAGGCGACGAUCAGUAGCUGGUCUGAGAGGAUGAUCAGCCACAUUGGGACUGAGACACGGCCCAAACUCCUACGGGAGGCAGCAGUGGGGAAUAUUGGACAAUGGGCGCAAGCCUGAUCCAGCCAUGCCGCGUGAGUGAUGAAGGCCCUAGGGUUGUAAAGCUCUUUUGUGCGGGAAGAUAAUGACGGUACCGCAAGAAUAAGCCCCGGCUAACUUCGUGCUAGCAGCCGC